GCGUUGGCGAGCUAGUAACAAAGCAUUUGAGCUAACGAUGUCCGAUGGGGAACCCACUCACAUAAGUGAGUAUCACAUACUGAAUACAUAGGUAUGUGAGGCAAACCCGGGGAACUGAAACAUCUAAGUACCCGGAGGAACAGAAAUCAACCGAGAUUCCCCUAGUAGCGGCGAGCGAACGGGGAUUAGCCCUUAAGUCUAUAGGGUGUUAGUGGAAUGAGUUGGAAAGCUCAGCGGCACAGGGUGAUAGCCCCGUACAUGAAAACUAACUAUAGAUGAAAACGAGUAGGACGGGACACGUGACAUCUUGUCUGAACAUGGGGGGACCAUCCUCCAAGGCUAAAUACUCCUGACUGACCGAUAGUGAACCAGUACCGUGAGGGAAAGGCGAAAAGAACCCCUGUGAGGGGAGUGAAAUAGAACCUGAAACCGUAUACGUACAAGCAGUGGGAGCGGUUCCAUUCUUCGGAAUAAGAGACCGUGACUGCGUACCUUUUGUAUAAUGGGUCAGCGACUUACAUUUUGUAGCGAGGUUAAGCGAAUAGCGGAGCCGUAGGGAAACCGAGUGUUAACUGCGCGUUUAGUUGCAAGGUGUAGACCCGAAACCCGGUGAUCUAUCCAUGGGCAGGUUGAAGGUUGAGUAACAUCAACUGGAGGACCGAACCGACUUAUGUUGAAAAAUGAGCGGAUGACUUGUGGAUGGGGGUGAAAGGCCAAUCAAACCGGGAGAUAUCUGGUUCUCCUCGAAAGCUAUUUAGGUAGCGCCUCGAGCGAAUACCAUUGGGGGUAGAGCACUGUUAAGGCUAGGGGGUCAUCCCGACUUACCAACCCUUUGCAAACUCCGAAUACCAAUGAGUACUACUCGGGAGACACACGGCGGGUGCUAACGUCCGUCGUGGAAAGGGAAACAACCCAGACCAUCAGCUAAGUCCCAAGUUAUUGCUAAGUGGGAAACGAUGUGGGAAGCUAGACAGCUAGGAUGUGGCUAGAGCAGCAUCAUUUAAAGAAGCGUAAUAGCUCACUAGU
rfam:Shewanella benthica KT99 1099576005585, whole genome shotgun sequence.